GGCAGGGCAAGAGCAGCACAUUUGCAUGCAGGGCCCCUCUCUCUCCUCUGAGGAUGAAGGGGGGAUAAGAGACACCUGCAGCGUGUCUGCCUCAGCAGAGCUCUGGGGUGUCUGCACCAUGGCCUGGACCCCACUCCUCCUCCUCAGCCUCCUCCUUCACUGCACAGGGUCCCUCUCCCAGCCUGUGCUGACUCAGCCGCCCUCUGCAUCUGCCUCCUUGGGAGCCUCGGUCAAGCUCACCUGCACUCUGGACAGUGCACACAGCAGCUAUUACAUGUAUUGGCACCAGCAGCAGCCGGGGAAGGCCCCUCGGUACCUGAUGUGGAUUAGCAGUGCUGGGAGCAGCAGCAAGGGGGACGGGAUCCCUGACUGCUUCUCUGGCUCCGGCUCUGGGGCUGACCGCUACUUGACCAUCUCCAACCUCCAGUCUGAGGACGAGGCUGAUUAUUUCUGUGGAAGUGGUGACAGCAGUGGUUUACACAGUGACACAGGCAGAUGAGGAAGUGGGACAAAAACCUCAGCCUGCACUUGAGCUUUCUCUAUGACAAUUUUCAAAUUUCAAAAUAUGCUCCAAUGCACAAAUUCUACUUGGCAGCACCUUUGGUGUUUAAAAUAUUUCUAUUCUCAGUUUCUCUCCAAAUGUUUCUGAAGUCUCAGGAAAACCAAAAGCAAAACCCAAAGCCCCCUGAUGACACUGAAAUGUUGCCUGUUUAUCCGAAUGUGU